AUAGAUUCAUAAUUUAAUUAUUUCUCUUCAGCAUCAUGAAAAUCUCAGCUCUUGCCUUUUUCGCCCUUGUCGGAGUUAUCGGUGUUGCCCUCGGUGCCGGGUACGGAUACGGCGGUUAUUCUGGCGGGUACACCUACAUGCCAGUAUCUGGUUACGGUCAGCAAGGGGCCGGCGGAUUAGGAGAUGGUUCUUUCUUGAUGCUGAUCGGAUUCUUGUUCCUGAUCUUGAUCUUGUUCAACAGCAACCUGUUUAACACCACCUCAUCAGCUACGACCACACCCAUCACCAUCCUCCAGGGUUAAAAAUGAUUUAGUAAAAGACCAGCAGCACUUUACGCCGAACAUCUAUAUUUCCACGACCCUUUCUAUGGAGAUAUUCCAGCUGUGAUGUGAUUGGUCAAUUUAUAAUACUUUCUGUGAUAUCUAAGUUAUUUAUCAUUAAUGUUAUAUUGAUGCGUUUUAUGCCAAAACACUGCAAUAAAAUCUUAAAAGAAAAUAA